AGAUUAAGCCAUGCAUGUCUAAGUAUAAACGAUUUAAUCGUGAAACCACGAAUGGCUCAUUAUAACAGCUAUAAUUUACUUGAUCUUGACACAAUCCUACUUGGAUAACUGUGGUAAUUCUAGAGCUAAUACAUGCAUUAAAGCUCUGACCUCACGGGAAGAGUGCAUUUAUUAGAUCAAAACCUAGCGGCUUCGGCUGUUUCUGGUUGACUCAUAGUAACUGAGCUGAUCGCAUGGUCUUGCACCGGCGACGUGUCUUUCAAGUAUCUGCCGUAUCAACUUUCGAUGGUAGUGUAUCUGACUACCAUGGUGAUCACGCGUAACGGAGAAUAAGGGUUCGGCUCCGGAGAGUUCGCCUGAGAAAUCGCGAACACAUCUAAGGAAGGCAGCAGGCGCGAAAAUUACCCACUCUCAGCACGAGGAGGUAGUGACGAAAAAUAACGAGACCGUUCUCUUAUGAGGCCGGUCAUCGGAAUGG
rnacentral:rRNA from 1 species